AGUGUAGGCGGUUACUUAAGUCGGAUGUGAAAUCCCCGGGCUCAACCUGGGAAUUGCAUUCGAUACUGGGUAGCUAGAGUUUGGUAGAGGUAAGUGGAAUUCCGGGUGUAGCGGUGAAAUGCGUAGAUAUCCGGAGGAACAUCAGUGGCGAAGGCGGCUUACUGAACCAAAACUGACGCUGAGGCUCGAAAGCGUGGGGAGCAAACAGGAUUAGAUACCCUGGUAGUCC
rnacentral:rRNA from 1 species